rnacentral:rRNA from 1 species
UAUAAAGGAGCUGGUAUCAGGCACACUUAAUUAAGCAGCCCAUGACACCUUGUUCAACCACACCCCCACGGGUAACAGCAGUGACUAACAUUGAGCUAUAAACGAAAGUUUGACUAAAUCAUAAUAAAUUAGGGUUGGUAAAUCUCGUGCCAGCCACCGCGGUCAUACGAUUAACCCAAAUUAACAGAAAAACGGCGUAAAGGGUGUUUAAGCAUAAACUUCACAAAUAAGGUUAAAACUCAACUACGCUGUAAUACGCCCCAGUUGACAUUAAAAUACGCAACUUACGUGACUUUACUAUUGCUGAAGACACUAAAGCUAAGGUACAAACUGGGAUUAGAGACCCCACUAUGCUUAGCCGUAAACCUAGGUAAUUAAAUAACAAAAUUACUCGCCAGAGAACUACUAGCCACUGCUUAAAACUCAAAGGACUUGGCGGUGCCCUAGACCCUCCUAGAGGAGCCUGUUCUAUAAUCGAUAAACCCCGAUACACCUCACCCCUUCUAGCUCAACAGUCUAUAUACCGCCAUCGUCAGCUCACCCCAAUAGGGCCUCAAAGUGAGCAAAACCAUCAAACCAUAAAAACGUUAGGUCAAGGUGUAGCAUAUGAAGGGGGAAGCAAUGGGCUACAUUUUCUAUAUUAGAACAUAACGGAUUGUCUACUGAAAUGAAGACAUGAAGGAGGAUUUAGUAGUAAAUUAAGAAUAGAGAGCUUAAUUGAAAUAGGCA